rnacentral:misc_RNA from 1 species
UGAUAGAGCCUUGCUGAAGAAUGUAUUGGACAUUUUUGUUGAAAUUGGGAUGGGGAAUAUGGAAUGCUACGACAAUGAUUUUGAAACUGCCAUGCUUGAGGAUACUGCGGCUUAUUACUCUCGCAAAGCUUCAAACUGGAUCUUGGAGGAUUCAUGUCCAGAUUACAUGUUGAAGGCAGAAGAAUGUUUAAAACGUGAGAAGGACAGGGUAGCCAAUUACUUGCAUUCAAGUAGUGAACAAAAGUUGUUGGAGAAAGUACAAUCCGAGUUACUUGCCAUGUAUGAAAGCCAACUUCUUGAAAAAGAACAUUCUGGAUGCCAUGCCUUGCUUCAUGAUGACAAGGUGGAUGAUCUGUCAAGGAUGUACAGGCUAUUUUCUAAAAUAACCCGUGGCCUCGAUCCCAUUUCUCAGAUAUUUAAACAGCAUGUCACUGCUGAAGGUACAUCCCUAGUUAAACAAGCAGAAGAUGCCGC